UACGUAGGUCCCGAACGUUGUCCGGAUUUAUUGGGCGUAAAGCGAGCGCAGGUGGUUUAUUAAGUCUGGUGUAAAAGGCAGUGGCUCAACCAUUGUAUGCAUUGGAAACUGGUAGACUUGAGUGCAGGAGAGGAGAGUAGAAUCCCAUGUGUAGCGGUGAAAUGCGUAGAUAUAUGGAGGAACACCGGUGGCGAAAGCGGCUCUCUGGCCUGUAACUGACACUGAGGCUCGAAAGCGUGGGGAGCAAACAGG
rnacentral:rRNA from 1 species